rnacentral:rRNA from 1 species
GAUGAACGCUGGCGGCGUGCCUAAUACAUGCAAGUCGAGCGAAGCGGGGACGGGUGAGUAACACGUGGCUAACCUCCUAUAAGACUGGGAUAACUUCGGGAAACCGGAGCUAAACCGGAUACUUAUAGAUGGAGCCGCGCUGCAUUAGCUAGUUGGUAAGGUAACUGCUUACCAAGGCAACGAUGCAUAGCCGACCUGAGAGGGUGAUCGGCGACACUGGAACUGAGCCACGGGCCAGACGCCUACGGGAGGCAGCAGUGGGGAAUAUGGCACAAUGGGCGCAAGCCUGAUGCAGCCAUGCCGCGUGUAUGAAGAAGGCCUUCGUGUUGUAAAGUACUUUCAGCGGGGAGGCGUUACCCGCAGAAGAAGCACCGGCUAACUCCGUGCCAGCAGCCGCGGUAAUUC